rnacentral:lncRNA from 1 species
UGACGAUUUAGUUUCACUGUUUAGUGACGUUGAUUCUAUUUUCCGUCACUGUUCUUCGUACCAAAGCUCCGUCCCUUAUCAAACAUGACGAAGCUACUAAUUUCGUCAUAGAAUAAACUAGUUCUAUGACGAAAAUAGUUAGCGUCAUUAGGUAUUCGUCAUUGAUUAACACAUUUCUAGUAGUGAAAGAAUCCAAAUGCAACCAACACCCAGACUUAGGGUUUUAUCUGAUAGAAUUCUAUGAGUUUUGGUGUUUGUCUAUUUCUGCAAGGGGUUAUCAGGAAAUACGGAAGAAAGGCCCACACGUCGGGUUUACAUAG